AUCGCGGACGCGGGUCAAAGUGCAUUAUCUGUUCUUAUCAACUUAAUAUCUGUUACGGGUUGUAUUUGGACCCAAGAUAUUGAAUUUAUAUUUGCAAGUUGGCGGAGUGCUUGAAGCCUGCUUCACCUCCGCCGCGGGUCGACCCACGGGGAAACUUUCUAUGUUGAUGCGACAGAGCAAAU